ACCCUAGAAUCACAUACCUAUUCAACUAGAAAUCAGCACAUAGAAGACGAUGAUGAGAAGCAUGGAGAUGACAAUAGUGAGGGCGGUGCAGCGACGAUUACAGGAGAACGGCGCAGCAAUGAUUACUGGAGAACGGCGCAGCGACGAUUACUAGAGAAGAGCAAUGGUCAGUGCAGUGGUGACAAUGGCAAAGGUGAUGAGUGUCGAUGGUGAACGGUGAGCGGUGACUAGCGGUGAGUGGUUGUGGUGACCUGGUCAGCGUAGCGACGUGAUGAGUGGUGACUGGUGAGUGGUGACUGGCGGUGAAUGGUGACUGGGUGGCGACAGUCAACGGCCACGGUGAGAAGGCGAAGGUGAUGAUGAGUGUCGAGAGCAGAGAUUGGCAAAGGUGAUGG